rnacentral:pre_miRNA from 2 species
CGAGGCCUGGACCUGGCACACAGUGUAGGAGACUGUGUAACCAUGGCAACAGCUACAUUGUCUGCUGGGUUCAGGUUGCC